AGACUAAAUAAAUGUAUUAUCCUGCUCCCUGUUUAUUAUCAUUCCUUUCCUAGGUCCAGUGUGAGACCGACCCUACUGGUUUGAAUGGAGUUGUGGUGUAUGAUGAUCAAACUUAUGAUCUAACUUAUGUUAAGAACAACCAGCGGAGGAGUCGGGCCUCUUCUGUAGACAACUCAAGCACGCCCGUCGCCAGGUGGAGUCAGAACGGCCCAUGGGUGGUGAUAGCACUCGCUGCUGUGAUGCUGUUGUUAGUGUAUUUGUAUUUGUAUUCACUAACCACUAUACUUUCAUAGAUGUAUACUGCAUCAUAACGCAGACUGUACUAACUCUUGAUUGAAAUAUCUUGACUUUCUUCAUUGACUAGUUGC